rnacentral:rRNA from 1 species
GACGUAGGGCGCAAGCGUUUGUCCGGAUUUAUUGGGCGUAAAGAGCUCGUAGGCGGCUUGUUGCGUCGGCUGUGAAAACCCGCGGCUUAACUGCGGGCUUGCAGCUGAUACGGGCGGGCUGGAGUUCGGUAGGGGAGACUGGAAUUCCUGGUGUAGCGGUGAAAUGCGCAGAUAUCAGGAGGAACACCGGUGGCGAAGGCGGAUCUCUGGGCCUGUUCUGACGCUGAGGCGCGAAAGCUAGGGGAGCGAACAGG